GAUCACAGAUUACCUUCAGUGGUUGGGGAGGAGUAGUUGGAUUUUCAACAGCAGGGAUCGACUGGAAUCCCCAUGUAAUAGGUGUGGUAUGUGUACUCUAUUUCUUCCCUCAUGGUGUCUAGGCACUGCUACACACCAGGCUGGAAGGAAGCAGAGGCCAGAAGAGAAUCCUUCUGGUCGCCAUCUGAGCCUGGAGCUAAGGCUGUUCCACAGCCCUCUCUACACAGGUUCCGCCAGAGAGAGCUGGUCUCCCAGGAGUGCUGACAGGGCUUGCAGGCCCACAGGAGGGACAAGCUCCAGCCAGAGACAGAAAGACCAACACCAGAAAUAACCAGAUGGCAAAAGGCAAGCGCAAGAACCUUACCAACAGAAACCAAGGCUACUUGGCAUCAGACCCCAGUUCUCCCAUCACAGCAAGUCCUGGAUACCUCAACACACCGGAAAAGCAAGAUAUGGAUUUAAAAAUCACAUCUCAUUAUGCUGAUAGAGGAUUUUAAGAAGGACAUAAAUAACUCCCUUAAAGAAGUACAGGAGAACACAAGUAAACAAAUAGAAGCUUUAAAGAGGAAACAAAAAUCCCUUAAAGAAUUUCAGGAAAACACAACUGAACAGAUGAAGGAAUUAAACAAAACCAUCCAGGAUCUAAAAAUGGAAGUAGAAACAAAAAGAAAUCACAAAGGGAGACAUCUCCCCGGAUUUUAAUGGAACAGCUCUCUUAGACAAUCUUAGUUUAAUUUGCACUGGUUAGAGUCUACUGUCUGGUCUCCUUGGUUUCUCUAGUCCAGAGGAUGGGCAACCCACACGGAGAUACAAGACCAUUUGAAAGAUGCCUGAUUGAAAGAUUGGAUUGAGCUGCCGAUUCCUGUGAGCUGUACUGCUGAUGUCCUGACAAUGCAGAUUGGAUUUGCUCCAAAGAACUAUUUCUAAACAGGUUCUUCUUUGCCCUAUUAAUCUUUCCUUCCCACUACCUCUGGUGUGGUGGGCUAGAAGGGACAUUAAAACAUUUAAGAACAACAACCCUCGAACUGUGAGGCUGUCAGCUUCAGACAAGAGAGACUAUUUACUUAAAUGGCCAAUUUUUGUUUAAAAUGGCCACUCAAAUUAAAAGGAAAAGUGAGGAUCUGGAGAGAGGCUCAGCAGUUAAGAACACUGACUGAUCUUCCAGAGGACCAGAGAUCAAUUCUUAGCAGCCACAUGGCGGCUCACAACCAUCUGUAACGGGCUCCCAUACCGUCUUCUGGUGUGUCUGAAGAUAGCUACAUUGUACUCAUUUAUUAUAAAAUAAAUAAAUAAAUCUGCUCUUC
rnacentral:lncRNA from 1 species